GUCCCCGUGGCUCAGCAGGAUAGAGCAACGGAUUCCUAAUCCGUAGGUCGCAGGUUCGAAUCCUGCCGGGGACGCCA
rnacentral:tRNA from 1 species